rnacentral:rRNA from 1 species
GACGAACGCUGGCGGCGUGCCUAAUACAUGCAAGUUGAGCGCAGAAGGCUGGUACUUGUUCCAACUGGUUGAGCAGCGCACGGGUGAGUAACGCGUAGGGAAUCUGCAUUUGAGCGUGGGACAACAUUAGGAAACGAAUGCUAAUACCGCUUAACAACUUUAAACACCGGAUUUAAGUUUGAAAGAUGCAAUUGCAUCACUCAAAGAUGAUCCCGCGUUGUAGUAGCUAGUUGGUGAGGUAAAGGGCCACCAAAGCGAUGAUACAUAACCGACCGGGGAAGGUGAGGGGGCACAUUGGGACUGGGACACGGCCCAAACCCCAACGGGAGGGAGCAGUAGGGGAGCUUCGGCUAGGGACGAAAGCCUGAGCGAGCAACGGCGAGGGAGCGAAGAGGGUGAUCGGCUCGUAAAAUGUUGUUUGUAGUGAAGAGCGUUGGUGGGAGGGGACAGCUCAUUAAUUGACGGUACCUAAUCAGAAAGGGACGGCUAACUACGUG